rnacentral:rRNA from 1 species
GACGAACGCUGGCGGCGCGCCUAACACAUGCAAGUCGAACGAGCGAGAGAGAGCUUUCUUUCUCGAGCGUUUGGCGAACGGGUGAGUAACGCGUGAGGAACCUCCCUCUAAGAGGCGGACAACAGUUGGAAACGACUGCUCAUACCGCAUAAGCUCACUACCCCGCCACGGGUCGAGGGAAAAGGAGCAAUUCGCUUUGACAUGGCCUCGCGUCCGAUUAGCUAGUUGUUGAGGUAACGGCCCCCCAAUGCGACGACCGGUAGCCGGACUGAGAGGUUGAACGGACACACUGGGACUGAGACACGGCCCAGAAUCCUACGGGAGGCAGCAGUGGGGAAUAGUGCAAAAUGGGGGAAACGCUGAAGCAGCGAGGACGCGUGGAGGAAGAAGGUAGUCGGAUUGUAAACUCCUGUUGUUGAGGAAGAUAAUGACGGUACUCAACAAGGAAGUGACGGCUAACUACGUG